rnacentral:rRNA from 1 species
GACGAACGCUGGCGGCAUGCCUAACACAUGCAAGUCGAACGAUUACCUUCGGGUGAUGGUGGCUCCCGGGUUCGUAACGCGUUGGAAUAUGCCUUAAGAUUCUGCAUAACACCUUGAAACGGCUGCUAAUACCGGAUGAUAUCGCGAGAUCAGAGCUUUAUCGGCUGGGGGUGAGCUGGCGUGUGUUUAGGUAGGUGGUGGGGUAAGGGCCUACCAAGCCGACGUUCCAUAGCUGGUCUGAGCGGAGGAUCAGCCACACUGGGACUGAGGCACGGCCCAGAAUCCGACGGGAGGCAGCGGUGGGGAAUAUAGGGCGCGGGGCGCAAGCCUGAUACAGCAAUGCGGCGUGAGUGAUGAAGGGCGUAGGAUUGUAAAGCUGUUUGAGCCGGGAAGAUAAUGACGGUACCGGGUGAAGAAGCCCCGGCUAACUACGUG